GGAGAAAUAUUUAAAAAUUUUGGUUAAACAUUUAGAUUAUGUAUAAAAGGAUCGCAAGAGAUUAUGACAUAUGGAGUUUGAAAUAUGAUGGAUAAUCUAUAGAUCAUGAUAUGAUUAGUUAGAUCUUGAUCGAAAGUAAUCACAAAAGGAUUGAUAUAAAAUUUUAUUAUGUAUUAUGGUUAUUAAUUUGAUCAUUGGUUAUUCAAGUGAAUUGUAAGUUCAAAUUCGAUGUGAGAAUAAUACUAUGAUAUUACUUCUAGUUGAGAAGUUGACUAUUAUUGGCAAGAUAAAGAUUUGAUAAUAAAAUGUUGUUCCAGGAUGGACUAAGAAAGUCUCUUAUGAUGCU
rnacentral:lncRNA from 1 species